CUCCUUAGGCCAGCCAACACGACAAACUGUCCCUGGGGGCUCCAGAAGAUGGUAUUUGCCUGCUGCUUAUCAAACAUUUCUGAAAGCAAAGAGAGCGGCUGAACUCCACUCACGCC